GACAGAGGGGGCAAGCGUUGCUCGGAAUCACUGGGCGUAAAGGGCGCGUAGGCGGGAUGGCAAGUCGGUCGUGAAAUCCUUCGGCUCAACCGAAGAACGUCGGCCGAUACUGCCGUUCUUGAGGGAUGCAGAGGAGAUUGGAAUUCCCGGUGUAGCGGUGAAAUGUGUAGAGAUCGGGAGGAACACCGGUGGCGAAGGCGGGUCUCUGGGCAUCUCCUGACGCUGAGGCGCGAAAGCGUGGGGAGUAAACGGG
rnacentral:rRNA from 1 species